UAAUACCGCAUAUGCCGAGAGGUGAAAGUUUAUUGCCUGAGGAUGAGCUCGCGUCUGAUUAGCUAGUUGGUGGGGUAAGAGCCUACCAAGGCGACGAUCCGUAGCUGGUCUGAGAGGAUGAUCAGCCACACUGGGACUGAGACACGGCCCAGACUCCUACGGGAGGCAGCAGUGGGGAAUUUUCCGCAAUGGGCGAAAGCCUGACGGAGCAAGACCGCGUGAGGGAAGACGGCCUAUGGGUUGUAAACCUCUUUUGAUAGGGAAGAAGGACUGACGGUACCUAUCGAAUCAGCCUCGGCUAACUCCGUGCCAGCAGCCGCGGUAAUACGGAGGAGGCAAGCGUUAUCCGGAAUUAUUGGGCGUAAAGCGUCCGUAGGUGGUUGGUCAAGUCAGCUGUUAAAGCGCGGAGCUUAACUCCGUAACGGCAGUGGAAACUGGUCAGCUAGAGUGCGAUAGGGGCAAGGGGAAUUCCCAGUGUAGCGGUGAAAUGCGUAGAUAUUGGGAAGAACACCGGUGGCGAAAGCGCCUUGCUGGGCCUGCACUGACACUGAGGGACGAAAGCUAGGGGAGCGAAAGGGAUUAGAUACCCCAGUAGUCC
rnacentral:rRNA from 1 species